AUUGAACGCUGGCGGCAUGCCUUACACAUGCAAGUCGAACGGUAACGCGGGGCAACCUGGCGACGAGUGGCGAACGGGUGAGUAAUGCAUCGGAACGUGCCCAGUAGUGGGGGAUAGCCCGGCGAAAGCCGGAUUAAUACCGCAUACGACCUACGGGUGAAAGGGGGGGAUCGCAAGACCUCUCGCUAUUGGAGCGGCCGAUGUCAGAUUAGGUAGUUGGUGGGGUAAAGGCCUACCAAGCCGACGAUCUGUAGCUGGUCUGAGAGGACGACCAGCCACACUGGGCCGGGGACACGGCCCAGACUCCUACGGGAGGCAGCAGUGGGGAAUUUUGGACAAUGGGCGCAAGCCUGAUCCAGCCAUGCCGCGUGCGGGAAGAAGGCCUUCGGGUUGUAAACCGCUUCUGUCAGGGAAGAAAUCUUCUGAGCUAAUACCUCGGGAGGAUGACGGUACCUGAAGAAUAAGCACCGGCUAACUACGUGCCAGCCGCCGCCGUAAUAC
rnacentral:rRNA from 1 species